GGCCCCAGAUGACUUUUUCUCAUGAUGGUCUGUGUAUGCCGAAGGAGCAGUGUCCUUAAUACCAAUGGCUCAGCUGAUGCCUGGAA